rnacentral:rRNA from 1 species
GACGAACGCUGGCGGCGUGCUUAACACAUGCAAGUCGAACGGAAAGGCCCUGCUUUUGUGGGGUGCUCGAGUGGCGAACGGGUGAGUAACACGUGAGUAACCUGCCCUUGACUUUGGGAUAACUUCAGGAAACUGGGGCUAAUACCGGAUAGGAGCUCCUGCUGCAUGGAGGGGGUUGGAAAGUUUCGGCGGGUGGGGCUGGACGCGCGGCUUAUCAGCUUGUUGGUGGGGUAGGGGCUUGCCAAGGCUUUGACGGGUAGCCGGCCUGGGAGGGUGACCGGCCACAUUGGGACUGCGAUACGGCCCAGACUCCUACGGGAGGCAGCAGUGGGGAAUAUUGCACAAUGGGCGGAAGCCUGAUGCAGCAACGCCGCGGGCGGGAUGACGGCCUUCGGGUUGUAAACCGCUUUCGCCUGUGACGAAGCGUGAGUGACGGUAAUGGGUAAAGAAGCACCGGCUAACUACGUG